rnacentral:rRNA from 1 species
CAUUAACAAAUCCAAUAUGUAGGUUUUGGGGUGAAUAACCCUCUACCUAAUAUUAAACCGCUAGUCCGACUAAUUAAUUAAUUAGUGGGACUAGUUGGAUAUAUAUGCAUGUUAUGUUGACAGUGUGUGUAAUUAAAAAUUUAUUGACAACUUUUAACAAUGGAUCUCUAGGCUCUUGCAGCGAUGAAGAACGCAGCAAAAUGCGAAACGUGAUGCGAUUUGCAUGAAUCUGUGAGUCAUCUAAUCUUUGGACGCGAAUGGCACUGUUAUGUAAGUAACAGUAUGUCUGUUUGAGAAUCGCAAAAACAAGAUCAACUCUAGUUGAGAGUUGGGAUUGGUCUUAUACAUCUAGUGGUGUAUUUGACUUGAUUAUAUCGAGUUGAUGAGCUUCCCAAUGCGGCUCAAUGUGUGCUAGCGAGACAGUCGUCCCGAUCUCACAUUUAUUGUCGCAUUGCAGAGUUCUGUCCACAGCUCGCUAAACAACCUAAAAAUUAUCAAAUACGAUCUCAAAUCAGGCAAGAUUACCCGCUGAACUU